rnacentral:lncRNA from 1 species
AUACAUAACUAGAUUAAGAUUUUUGUUUAUUUGUGUCUUCCAUUAUUUUAUCGAACUUCAUUGCUCUCAAAUAUAAAAAUCGAGAAACAUACUAAUGUUUCUUAGUGGGGUUGAGAUUCCUAUUCCUCACAAAUAUCUUAUGGAUAGCACAACAAGUAUUCAUGAGUUCAAGAGUAGGUAACUCUUUACCAAUUAUACUUCUACAAUUCUCAAAAUUUUUUUUUUCUAAACUCUAAAUCACAUAU